ACGUUAGCGGCGGACGGGUGAGUAACACGUAGGUAACCUACCUAUAAGACUGGGAUAACUUCGGGAAACCGGAGCUAAUACCGGAUAAUAUUUCGAACCGCAUGGUUCGAUAGUGAAAGGUGGCUUUGCUAUCACUUAUAGAUGGACCUGCGCCGUAUUAGCUAGUUGGUAAGGUAACGGCUUACCAAGGCAACGAUACGUAGCCGACCUGAGAGGGUGAUCGGCCACACUGGAACUGAGACACGGUCCAG
rnacentral:rRNA from 1 species